rnacentral:rRNA from 1 species
AUGGCGCCGCCUCGCCGCACGCUGCCUCCCCCGCACCGCCCCUCUCCUCGGCCACUUCUUCCACACCACAGCCACCGGUUUGCCGCCGCUCCUGCACACGGCAUCCAAGGACACCGUCAUCGACGCCCCCGCGGUCUUCGCUCCCCUCGACGCCUCCGCACCGAACCUCUCCCUCGACUUCGCUCCGGAGGCCUCCCGCUUCGUGCUCCACGACUGCCACCAAGGCCUCCUGCUUCUCGAACCGCUCGCGUCGCUUCCCAAGGGGAUCCUCCCACGCCUCCUCGUCAUCGACCCGGCCACCCGCCGCCGCGUGCUCCUCCCGCCGCCACCGCGCGACACGGUGCCCGACGACCAGCGCUGGCGCAGCUGCAGGCACUACGUCGGCUCCGGGCUUCUCUCCCGCGCGCACCAGAGCAAGCUCUGCUUCGAGGUCGUCUGCAUCUCCAUCGACGGCGGGCACCCCCGCGCCUGGGUCGCGUCCGUCGACGACGGCUAGUGCCGCUGGCGCGCGCUCCCGCGGACCACGGAGGUGGAGGUCAGCUUCGACCCCUGGUGGUUCGAGUCGCGCUGCGUGCACGCCGCCGGGAAGCUCUACUGGCAUAUCUGCAACUCCGGCCGCGUGCUCUCGCUGGACCCUUCCACACUGCACUUCUCUUACCUGCUGGCGCCGAAGGAGAUGCCCAGCUUCGGCAAGUUCCGCGUCGGGGAGACGCCGGACGACGGGCGGCUGUGCAUCGCGACCGUGGAGGACCAGCUGCUGCGGGUCUGGGUGCGUGGGGAGACCAGGUGGAGCGACGAUGGGUGGUAUCUGGAGAGGGAGAUGAAUCUUACCAAGAUGUACGACUCGGUGCCGGGCCUGCCCAAGGACAAGUGCCUCAGGAUCUUCAGUGUUUGGCUCAGCGACAUGGACGCGGGGCGUACCGGCAAGUUGUUCAUCAGAACCAUGGGGUAUGGGCGCUACUCCUUACAUCUGGACACGGCCAAGAUCGAGCGCCUGCACACCAAACAUGGCAAGGAGUACGGCCACCCGAUGUGCGCCUACUUCCACGCGUGGCCGCCUGCCUUCCUCGCUCCAGAGAACUGACUUUCUGGUGA